CCCAAUGCUUCUGACCCAUUUAGGGAUCUUGUGACCCAUUCUUCUCAAAUUCUCAAUUGAUUACUCUUCGAUUCAAUCACAAAAUCACUUCAAUCCUUCGUGACUUCGUCCCUUCGCACUAUUCAUCACUGCCUGUCUUUCCCCUUCCCAUCUUCGACGGCACGUCCUCCUGGAGCCGGUCAGACUUGCUCCCAUCUCCGACCGACUCUACAUUCUUCUCGGGCUCCGAGUUUUGAUCUCCGUUGGAUCGUUGUAGUCUUGCAGACUAGCAGGCAACGCCUGCGCAUGACAGCAGCUCCGCCAAUCGCUCAUUACAUUGUAACAGAAGAAGGUGAUUUUGAUUUUUGAAUCGGUUGGGUAGCCAGCAGAAUAAAAAGCAUGUGAAAUUAGCGCUUUAUUCUUUAAUUGCUCAAAGCAGCACUUCGUACACGUUGCUCUUCAAUUGAUUUUGGCACAGACUUCCAGUGGACCAGUUCAUUGUUGCAUCUGACUCUCUACAAAUAUGCGAUUAGUUGAAGGGGAGAUUGGAGUAAUUGUCAUUAAUGCUUGAUCGCAGUUCCCGUCUUUCUUUAAAUGCGAAAAUGGUGAUAUCCCAGAGGAAGGAGGAAUAUUUAUGCUUCCCUGAAAUCCAUUGUUCUUGUUUUCAUUCUUCUAUGACAUUGUGAACAGAGGGGAACAGGUUCGUGUUAUUUUCCAUAAUUUUGAGUUACUUGUUUCGACGCUUAAUAUGUAGCUUGUACGUUAAUGUGUGAAUUUUCAGUGUAAGCAUCAACUGAUGUGAAGGUUUCUGAUGAGGAUCUUGCAUUCUUACUUUCCAAGCUUUGACACCUUGAAAGAACAACAGAGUUCGCCUGUAGUGAUUGAGGUAAUUAGAGAAAACUUGAUGAGUUUCAAUUAGAUAGCGUAUGUCAUACCUUCAAGAAUUACUAAAGUUGUAAUUGGCAUUUUGUCAGUCCAAUUGCUUGAUUUUUGGAUGUUUU